rnacentral:rRNA from 1 species
GUCUACCAUGCAGUCGAACGGAAGGCCCUUCGGGGUACUCGAGUGGCGAACGGGUGAGUAACACGUGGGUGAUCUGCCCUGCACUUUGGGAUAAGCCUGGGAAACUGGGUCUAAUACCGAAUACACCCUUCUGGCUGCAUGGUCUGGGAGGGGAAAGCUUUUGCGGUGUGGGAUGGGCCCGCGGCCUAUCAGCUUGUUGGUGAGGUUAUGGCUUACCAAGGCGACGACGGGUAGCCGGCCUGAGAGGGUGACCGGCCACACUGGGACUGAGAUACGGCCCAGACUCCUACGGGAGGCAGCAGUGGGGAAUAUUGCACAAUGGGCGCAAGCCUGAUGCAGCGACGCCGCGUGAGGGAUGACGGCCUUCGGGUUGUAAACCUCUUUCGCCAGGGACGAAGCGCAAGUGACGGUACCUGGAGAAGAAGGACCGGCCAACUACGUGCCAGCAGCCGCGGUAAUACGUAGGGUCCGAGCGUUGUCCGGAAUUACUGGGCGUAAAGAGCUCGUAGGUGGUUUGUCGCGUUGUCCGUGAAAACUCACAGCUCAACUGUGGGCGUGCGGGCGAUACGGGCAGACUGGAGUACUGCAGGGGAGACUGGAAUUCCUGGUGUAGCGGUGGAAUGCGCAGAUAUCAGGAGGAACACCGGUGGCGAAGGCGGGUCUCUGGGCAGUAACUGACGCUGAGGAGCGAAAGCGUGGGGAGCGAACAGGAUUAGAUACCCUGGUAGUCCACGCCGUAAACGGUGGGUACUAGGUGUGGGUUUCCUUCCUUGGGAUCCGUGCCGUAGCUAACGCAUUAAGUACCCCGCCUGGGGAGUACGGCCGCAAGGCUAAAACUCAAAGAAAUUGACGGGGGCCCGCACAAGCGGCGGAGCAUGUGGAUUAAUUCGAUGCAACGCGAAGAACCUUACCUGGGUUUGACAUGCACAGGACGCCGGCAGAGAUGUCGGUUCCCUUGUGGCCUGUGUGCAGGUGGUGCAUGGCUGUCGUCAGCUCGUGUCGUGAGAUGUUGGGUUAAGUCCCGCAACGAGCGCAACCCUUAUCUUAUGUUGCCAGCGCGUAAUGGCGGGGACUCGUGAAAAACUGCCGGGGUCAACUCGGAGGAAAGUUGGGGAUGACGUCAAGUCAUCAGGCCCCUUAUGUCCAGGGCUUCAACAAUGCUACAAUGGCCGGUACAAAGGGCUNCCAUUCCCUUGA